CAGGAAGUAUGGAUAGCACAGUGAAUAAAUAGAGCCAGCAUCUAUAAACACCUUGCCCGGCUAACCAGAGCACAUGGCACAAUCGCAAGCUGUGUGAAUGCCGUUGACGUCCCUCUCUGGAUGGAUAUAACCCAUUUUAGCAUGGAUAAUGACAUUGAAGGCUUCCACCAUUUUAAAGUAGUCAACUGGGUGGGGAUUCCUAACAGCCAAUGUUCAGAGCGAAUGUCUUCUUUUUCAUAUAGAGUGCUAUUGUUUUUAAAUGGCUUUAUGUUAUAUGACCGCCAUCUAGUGGCCACACUAAGUGAAUGACACACUAGAUUCGGUUCAAGACCCCAGCACGGCAGGGGGCGGGACAUCACCAAUAUUAGCUUUACACGAAGAAGAAAAUGGACGUCUUUACAAUGGAGACUUCCCUCAAUGGCGCUGGCCAUGCUGUCCCAGAAGCCAUUAUGACACCGAUACAAAGGUGUGACUGGAUGGUGUCAGAGUCGGCGAGGUGUUCUGAGAACAACAACUUCAGGACCAGCUGAUGGGAAUAAAAGAUCUGGGACUACGUCCAACACGGUGACGACAAACUCCUGCACCAAGCCGUAGUCCAUGACGUCUCUCCGCUGAACAACCUGCCAUAGAG